rnacentral:miRNA from 1 species
GGAGGAUUGCUUGAGUCCUGGUGUUGGAAGCCACAGUGAGCUAUGAUCAUGCCACUGCACUCCAGCCUGAGUGACAGAGAAAUAUCGUGUCUC